AACACGACAUCGUUUUCUGCUUAACGUGUUCAUCUUUUUCACUCUAAGAACGAAAUACAGUUUAUAUAUCUCACUCUUCACUCUCUCUAUAAAUUCUUUUCUUUUUUCAAAGCUUUUACAAUUUCUUUUACAUUCAAAUGUGCUUCUUUCAACCUUCAAAUAACUUCUAGGCACGUUUCUCUUUCUUUCUCUAUUCAGUUUCUAUCUGUUUGGUUUCCGAGAAAGCGGGGAAUAGAUAAAGUUUUCAUCUUUAUUUGAUGCGGGUGUAAAGAUGUUUUAUCAUACCUGGUUUCCCUACAUUCAUUCUGCUUUGAUCAUCAGGUCAAAGGCAAUCAUUUCCAUGGGUGAUGUAGAAUUCUUCUGUGAAGGCAAUUGAUAUGAGGACAACUCUGAUGUGUUUUUCAAUCCAUCAAGCUCCUAAAUGCAGAAUUCAUACCCUAAGUAAUCUUUGGGAAAGUUUCUGUUUAAGUAGGAAUUAUGGAAAUAGUUCAAGGUUUAGGAUGCUUUCUUCCAAAGUCUCUGGAAUUGAAGGAGGAUGCAGUAACAGCUGGACUAGAAGACCAAUUACUACAAGAA